CCUACGGGAGGCAGCAGUGAGGAAUAUUGGUCAAUGGGCGUGAGCCUGAACCAGCCAAGUCGCGUGAGGGAAGACGGCCCUAUGGAUUGUAAACCUCUUUUAUCCGGGGGCAAAAGACGUCCCGCGUGGUGUUCUGUGUGUACCCCAAGAAUAAGCACCGGCUAACUCCGUGCCAGCAGCCGCGGUAAUACGGAGGCUGCGAGCGUUAUCCGGUUUUAUUGGGUUUAAAGGGUGCGCAGGCGGAAGAUCAAGCCAGCGGUAAACUUGCGAGUCUCAACCUCGUAGAGCCGUGGAAACUGGUUUUCUUGAGUGUGCGAGACGUAUGCGGAAUGCGUGGUGUAGCGGUGAAAUGCAUAGAUAUCACGCAGAACUCCGAUUGCGAAGGCAGCAUACCGGCGCUCUACUGACGCUCAUGCACGAAGGUGUGGGUAUCGAACAGGAUUAGAUACCCCUGUAGUC
rnacentral:rRNA from 1 species